AACAUCAACUGAUCUUCUUGAAACUGAACUGAAACUUGACUACUUAUGUCACUCCCACAUAUUCUGGAAUAUCAAAGUGAUCAUGACUUUUGAUCCAGAAAUAUGGACUGUCAAAGUUGCUUAAUAUUUUGUCAGCCAUAUUGUUUACAGUGUGUGAACAUCAUGUGCUGGCAUAAAUUCAAAAAUAUAGAAUGAUCUUCUUCAAAGUCAAACAGAACAUAACUGCAUAUCUCCUAUCCCACUACUGCAGGAUAUAGAAGAGAUCCAUCAUUUGAUCCAGAAAUAUAGACUCUCAAACUUCCCAACAUUUUGUCAGCCAUAUUGUUUACAUUGUGGGAAUUUCAGUUAAAGUACCGGACCAAGGGUGGUACUGGUUUGUUCUACACCAGGAAUGUGGAGUUCAACCCUGCCUAAGACACCAGAUCACUAUCUAUUGCUAUCUUCCCUUUCAUCAUUUAAUGUUAAGACCAGAAUAUUCGUACCUUGGUUUAAAAUCUGACAGUGUAUUAUAUAUAUAUAUAUAUAUCUACGCAAGUCAAGCCAUUUCAUUGUUGGCAUUAUAAUGUUCUGUGUUAUGAUAUCUAAAGACAAGUAUAUGUGUAUGUGGUAGGAUCAAUUCUAAUAAGACAUACCUUAAUAUAUUGGAAGGUUAUAGAUACAUGCAUUUUGACUGGAAUCAUUAUGAUCAUGAUAGAAAUAACUUGUUACAUCACUGUGUACAAUUUUUUAAAUAUUAUUGUCGUAAACCCAAGGUAUUGCCUGUGUUGUACCAUGUUUUUUGCAUUCCUUUUGAUACACAUUAAAGACAAAACCUGCCAUGCAA